rnacentral:rRNA from 1 species
GAGAGACGCCGGCGGCGUGGAUUAGGCAUGCAAGUCGAACGGUAUCAUCCUUUCGGGGGUGAGAGAGUGGCGAACUGGUGAGUAACACGUAGGUUAUCUACCCUCAAGACGGGACAACCCAGGGAAACUUGGGCUAAUACCGGAUGUGAGCAACUUUUAGUUGUUUGAAAGGUGGCGUAAGCUGUCGCUUGGGGAUGAGCCUGCGUCCUAUUAGUUAGUUGGUGAGGUAACGGCUCACCUAGGCAAUGAUAGGUAGGCGGCCUUAACGGGUGGUCGCCCACACUGGGAUUGAGAUACGGCCCAGACUCCUACGGGAGGCAGCAGUCGAGAAUAGUCUACAAUGGUCGGAAGACUGAUAGUGCGACGCCGCGUGAACGAUGAAUCCCUUCGGGGUGUAAAGUUCUUUUAUAUGUGAGCAGUGCUUCUUAUAUUAACAGUAUGGGGAGAGAGAUAUUAGCAUAUGAAUAAGCAACGGCUAACUCCGUG